AUUUUGUGAAGCCACUCAAGCCUGCGAGAGUUGUGGUGGGAAUAUUUGUAUUUUGUUGCUAGUGAGCUAGCAAAACUUGGUGUGAACUGUUAACGACUGACCAAACAUAGCUUGCUAAUUUUUUUUUAUAUAUAUAUAUUUUUUACAAUAGCAAUUAGCUAAAUUAACGUUAAAAGUGGUCUCCUAACUUUUAAAACACGAAAGUUAGUUAUCAGUCUACGGAUGUCUGGAGAUAAUAUGUCGGGCGGCGGGAGCGUGGUUCGUGGCCCAGCGGGAAACAACGACUGUCGGAUCUACGUGGGUAACCUGCCGCCUGAUAUUCGCACUAAAGACGUGGAGGAUGUGUUUUAUAAGUACGGGGCGAUCCGAGAUAUCGAUCUGAAGAACCGGAGAGGAGGACCUCCGUUCGCUUUUGUGGAAUUCGAGGACCCCAGGGAUGCUGAUGAUGCGGUGCAUGGUCGUGAUGGUUACGACUAUGAUGGUUACCGUCUCCGGGUGGAGUUCCCCCGUAGUGGGCGUGGGGGAGGGAGAGGGGGUGGUGGCGGUGGCAGGGGUGGCGGCGGCGAUGGAGGAGGAGCCCCAAGAGGACGAUACGGACCUCCCUCACGGCGCUCAGAGUACAGAGUCAUCGUCUCAGGUCUCCCCUCUAGUGGUAGCUGGCAGGACCUAAAGGAUCACAUGCGCGAGGCAGGUGAUGUAUGUUACGCUGACGUGUUCCGGGACGGUACCGGCGUGGUGGAGUUCGUACGCAAGGAGGACAUGACCUACGCUGUCCGCAAGCUGGACAACACUAAGUUCCGCUCCCACGAGGGAGAGACUGCGUAUGUGCGUGUGAAGGUGGACGGACCUCGCAGCCCCAGUUACGGACGCUCCCGCUCUCGUAGCCGUAGCAACGGGCGUAGCAACGGGCGUAGCAACAGCCGCUCGCGCAGCUUCUCACCGCCGCGACGCAGCCGUCCCUCGCCACGCUACUCGCCACGACACUCCCGAUCACGCUCCCGCAGCUAGACACAAACCACAUACACACACCUCCAGCCCAGCGGCCCCCAGGGAGAGGAUACAUCAGACCAGGAGACGGACAGACGCCGCCCGGUGGACAUUCUAAUGAAUUACACCUAAUGUUCUCUUGCCUCGGCUACCUCUUGUUCUUUCAUCCCCGUUUCCUGGUCUAGUUUGCCUCGGCUGUGGUUUGGCUUAUGACCUCUGUUCUCUUUGUAUCUGCUGACCCCUCAUCUUCCCCCGCUCUCUCUCUCAUCUGUGUAAAGGGCUUUAAUUGUUCUGUUUCUGUUAGUUUUGACUGGGGGGGUGAGAUUUAAUUUUGUUUGUGGGGCGGGAUGGUAUUUUCUUUGGCCUGUUGUGGUGUCUGUGAUGUGUUGUUGUGCUGACCUCUGACCUGUCUGUCGUGUCUCUCUGUAGAGAUCACAGGAGCAAGCUGAUAGGCUGCUGGGAAACAGGAAACUGUUCAUAUUAGGAUUAACAGGAGGAGCAGGAGGAGUCAAAUAACCAGCCAAUGGAAGGCUGUGAUUGGAGGAGGGCUCUGUCUCCCCGUCCUGGAGCCAAUCAGACCUUCAGGAUCAGAGCAGGGAUUAGGAUUAAGGAUGGAGAGAGAACGCGGAGUGGGACAGGAGCAUAGGAUCGGGACCAGCCCCCAGGCCACAGCCCAGCCCACUGGAACCUAAAUACUAGACCUAAGUCACUCAAAUGGCUCUCAAACACCCAAAAUUAGUUUAUUUUCCCGUGUGGACUCCACAGCGUCCUUCUAGGAUCCUGACCAGCGUUCUUUUAUUAUUUAAGUGGAGCUCAACGCAAAACCAGGAGUCUGGCUCAGGAUGGAGGGAGGCGCACAUAAGGAGAUUGGUAACUAGAAGGGAAUUAUAAUCUGGGGGGGGUUAAAUGUGUUUGUUCAUUAAAGGGAUGGAGGGUAAUGUGUUUCGUUUGUUUGGAGGGAGGGUGUGUUUUUUUUUUAAGGUUUGCAUUGUUUCCUCAGUAGAUUUUAUGAUUCGUUUGUUUCCCUAGUUGGUAACUUUUCAUGUUUCAGCACCUCUUCAAUAAAGUGUCUUCUACAGUA